CUCCCAGUCUUGGGCUGCUCUAAUGAAAUCAACAUUUCAUUGAGGGGAGCCACCAGAAAACACCAAGAGGUCCGUUAUCGCUGCAUCCUUCUCUCGUGCGAGCUCAAAUAUGGCAGGAAAAGUAUCUUUGAGGCUUCAUUCACCACACCAGUUGUCAUACCAAAAUCUGGCACGAGAGCCAUCACCCACUACUAAAUGUGUAUGUCUCCUAAACAUCUCCCAACCCUUCCUAUUCCACAGUGUGCUAGCCA